rnacentral:rRNA from 1 species
CCUACGGGUGGCUGCAGUCGAGAAUUUUUCACAAUGGGCGAAAGCCUGAUGGAGCGACGCCGCGUGGGGGAUGAAUGGCUUCGGCCCGUACACCCCUGUCAUUUGCGAGCAAACCUCUUCUGUUAAUACCGGAAGAGUCGAUAGUAGCGAAAGAGGAAGGGACGGCUAACUCUGUGCCAGCAGCCGCGGUAAUACAGAGGUCCCAAGCGUUGUUCGGAUUCACUGGGCGUAAGGGGUGCGUAGGCGGCGGGAAAUCUCCAGGCUCAACCUGGAAAUGGCAUUGAAUACUAUUCAGCUCGAGGGUUGUAGGGGAGACUGGAAUUCUCGGUGUAGCAGUGAAAUGCGUAGAUAUCGAGAGGAACACCAGUGGCGAAGGCGAGUCUCUGGACAACUCCUGACACUGAGGCACGAAAGCUAGGGGAGCAAACAGGAUUAGAUACCCUUGUAGUC